GGCAACGAGCGAGACCCACGCCCACAGUUGCCAGCGUACUCUCCGGAGUGACGGGUACACUGUGGGGACCGCCGCUGCUAAAGCGGAGGAAGGAAUGGGCAACGGUAGGUCAGUAUGCCCCGAAUAUCCCGGGCUACACGCGAGCUACAAUGGUUGGUACAAUGGGUAUCUACCCCCGAAAGGGGACGGGAAUCUCCUAAAACCAAUCUUAGUUCGGAUUGAGGGCUGCAACUCGCCCUCAUGAAGCUGGAAUCCGUAGUAAUCGCGUUUCAACAGAACGCGGUGAAUACGUCCCUGCUCCUU
rnacentral:rRNA from 1 species